rnacentral:rRNA from 1 species
AGCAGCCGCGGUAAUUCCAGCUCCAAUAGCGUAUAUUAAAGUUGUUGCAGUUAAAAAGCUCGUAGUUGGAUCUGGGGUUCGGGUCGGUGGUUUGCCGCUCUGCGGCUACUGCCGUGCUCGACUCUUACUAGCCGGUGCGUCUCGUGGUGCUCUUCAUUGAGUGCCACGAGAGCCUGGCAUGUUUACUUUGAAAAAAUUAGAGUGCUCAAAGCAGGCGCUUGCGCCUGAAUAGUGUUGCAUGGAAUAAUGGAAUAGGACCUCGGUUCUAUUUUGUUGGUUUUCGGAACUUGAGGUAAUGAUUAAGAGGGACGGUCGGGGGCAUUCGUAUUUCGGUGUUAGAGGUGAAAUUCUUGGAUCGCUGAAAGACGGACAAAUGCGAAAGCAUCUGCCAAGAACGUCUCCAUUAAUCAAAGACGAAAGUCAGAGGUUCGAAGACGAUCAGACACCGUCCUAGUUCUGACCAUAAACGAUGCCAACUAGCGAUCCGCAGUGGUUGCUAUAAACGGACUCUGCGAGCAGCUUCCGGGAAACCAAAGUGUUUGGGUUCCGGGGGAAGUAUGGUUGCAAAGCUGAAACUUAAAGGAAUUGACGGAAGGGCACCACCAGGAGUGGAGCCUGCGGCUUAAUUUGACUCAACACGGGGAAACUCACCCGGUCCGGACACCGUAAGGAUUGACAGAUCGAGAGCUCUUUCUUGAUUCGGUGGAUGGUGGUGCAUGGCCGUUCUUAGUUGGUGGAGUGAUUUGUCUGGUUAAUUCCGAUAACGAACGAGACUCUAGCCUGCUAACUAGUUGCGCCGUGUUCAUUCGCGGCUGUAGACUUCUUAGAGGGACAGAUGGCGUUUAGCCAUACGAAAUUGAGCAAUAACAGGUCUGUGAUGCCCUUAGAUGUCCGGGGCCGCACGCGCGCUACACUGAAGGAGUCAGCGUGUGCUAUCCGGGCUCGGAAGAGCUCGGUAACCCGUUGAAACUCCUUCGUGCUUGGGAUUGUGGCUUGUAAUUAUCGCGCAUGAACGAGGAAUUCCCAGUAAGUGCAAGUCAUCAGCUUGCGCUGACUACGUCCCUGCCCUUUGUACACACCGCCCGUCGCUACUACCGAUUGAAUGGUUUAGCAAGGUACUCAGAUUGGUCUCGAUCUUGCACGCAAGUGUGAGAUCGAUGGUCGAGAAGAAGGCCAAACUUGAUCAUUUAGAGGAAGUAAAAGUCGUAACAAG